rnacentral:rRNA from 1 species
ACUCCUACGGGAGGCAGCAGUGGGGAAUCUUGCGCAAUGGACGAAAGUCUGACGCAGCAACGCCGCGUGAGGGACGAAGGCUUUCGAGUUGUAAACCUCUUUCGACAGGAACGAUUGUGACGGUACCUGUAGAAGAAGCACCGGCCAACUAUGUGCCAGCAGCCGCGGUGAUACAUAGGGUGCGAGCGUUAUUCGGAUUUAUUGGGCGUAAAGAGCUCGUAGGCGGUUCGACAAGUCGGGUGUUAAACCCCCAGGCUCAACCUGGGGCCGCCACCCGAAACUGUUGUACUAGAGUUUGGUAGGGGAUCACGGAAUUCCUGGUGUAGCGGUGGAAUGCGCAGAUAUCAGGAGGAACACCAGUAGCGAAGGCGGUGAUCUGGGCCAAUACUGACGCUGAGGAGCGAAAGCGUGGGGAGCGAACAGGAUUAGAUACCCUGGUAGUCCACGCCGUAAACGGUGGGCACUAGGUGUGGGGACUUUUCAACGGUUUCCGCGCCGCAGCUAACGCAUUAAGUGCCCCGCCUGGGGAGUACGGUCGCAAGACUAAAACUCAAAGAAAUUGACGGGGGCCCGCACAAGCAGCGGAGCAUGUGGCUUAAUUCGAUGCAACGCGAAAAACCUUACCUAGAUUUGACAUGCUGGGAAAAGCCACAGAGAUGUGGUGUCCUUCGGGGCUCAGCACAGGUGGUGCAUGGCUGUCGUCAGCUCGUGUCGUGAGAUGUUGGGUUAAGUCCCGCAACGAGCGCAACCCUUGUUCUAUGUUGCCAGCACGUAAUGGUGGGGACUCGUAGAAGACUGCCGGGGUCAACUCGGA